rnacentral:rRNA from 1 species
UUGGAGGGCAAGUCUGGUGCCAGCAGCCGCGGUAAUUCCAGCUCCAAUAGCGUAUAUUAAAGUUGUUGCAGUUAAAAAGCUCGUAGUUGAAUUUUGGGAUCAAUAUGUUGGUCGUGCCUUGGUACGUACUAUCUUAUUGGUUUCUCCCUUCUGACGAACCAUGAUGUCAUUAAUUUGAUGUCAUGGGGAAUCAGGACUGUUACUUUGAAAAAAUUAGAGUGUUUAAAGCAGGCUCACGCUUGAAUAUAUUAGCAUGGAAUAAUGAAAUAGGACGUUUGGUUCUAUUUUGUUGGUUUUUAGGAUCGAUGUAAUGAUUAAUAGGGAUAGUUGGGGGCAUUAGUAUUCAAUUGUCAGAGGUGAAAUUCUUGGAUUUAUUGAAGACUAACUACUGCGAAAGCAUUUGCCAAGGAUGUUUUCAUUAAUCAAGAACGAAAGUUAGGGGAUCGAAGACGAUCAGAUACCGUCGUAGUCUUAGCCAUAAACUAUGCCGACUAGGGAUCGGAUGAUGUUAAUUUUUUAAUGACUCAUUCGGCGCCUUACGGGAAAC